rnacentral:rRNA from 1 species
UCCUGGCUCAGGACGAACGCUGGCGGCGUGCCUAAUACAUGCAAGUCGAGCGGGGUUAUGUAGAAGCUUGCUUCUACAUAACCUAGCGGCGGACGGGUGAGUAACACGUAGGCAACCUGCCCACAAGACAGGGAUAACUACCGGAAACGGUAGCUAAUACCCGAUACAUCCUUUUCCUGCAUGGGAGAAGGAGGAAAGACGGAGCAAUCUGUCACUUGUGGAUGGGCCUGCGGCGCAUUAGCUAGUUGGUGGGGUAAAGGCCUACCAAGGCGACGAUGCGUAGCCGACCUGAGAGGGUGAUCGGCCACACUGGGACUGAGACACGGCCCAGACUCCUACGGGAGGCAGCAGUAGGGAAUCUUCCGCAAUGGGCGAAAGCCUGACGGAGCAACGCCGCGUGAGUGAUGAAGGUUUUCGGAUUGUAAAGCUCUGUUGCCAGGGAAGAACGUCUUGUAGAGUAACUGCUACAAGAG